CCUCUGUUGUGGUCUGGAAGACUAGUGAUUUAGUUGUUUUAUUGAUGGAGAACAAUUAAUCACAAUCUUCUAUGACCACGGCAGAUG
rnacentral:pre_miRNA from 1 species